GUGGGCGCCUCGGACCGCCGGGGUCUGCGGGGCUCCCCGCGGGUCUGCGGCGGCGGGAGGAGCCGCACCUCGUGUGCGGGGCAGCGGGGGCCGCCCCGGCGGUCGGGCCUGGGGGCCUGCAAGGGGCGCUGGAGGUGAGAAGGCCUCUGUGGGGCGGUGAGAGACCCGUGGAGGUGGGGGAUGGCAGCUCUCGAGGGGCCGCGGUCCUGCUGCGCGGCGGCCCUCGGCCUCCGUCCCCCCGGUGUGGGCACCCUCCUGAGCUGCGGCCUUUCGCUCCCGAGGGCGAAACACCUCGUACAGAACCUGGUGUGACUCAUGUGUUUGGGCACGAACUCCUGCUGCACCUGAAACACCUGCCUGUGCAGAUUUCUUAUGUCUGCGUCAUGUACUUGUUAUACAUCAUUUGCUGGUGUCUCCGGUACUUCUAGGUGCCGUUGGGUCCCUCCAAGGAAUUUGCACUCGCAGCUGGGAGAGUGACAGCAAUUCUCCUCAGGUGCUGGUGUCCUGCAAGUCUCUCCUCCGGCCCUCGGACAUCACACUCGAGAAGUCGUACCAGCUACGUAGGGAAGAAGACCUCAAACAUUUUGAUCGACUGCUGGAAUGAAUGUUACCUGUUUGUUCACUGUUAUGAAGAGGAAACACAUCACCUUUUGGCAGUACCAGCUGAGCACCAGCAUGAAGUGGUGACCAAAGCACGACUGCAUCAUCACCCAGUCAACCGCCCCUGGAAGGUUAAUGUCUGUGGCAAGAAAAACGAUGUCUUCUCCCUGAAGGGUGGUAAUGCUUUUG